GAAGAUGGAAGCCUUGUAGAUCCCUUCGUCAAGGUAGUUGAGGGUAUGGAUUCCAAGAUAAAGGAAGACAGUGGUGAAAGGUUAUGAAAGUAGUAAGCAGCGCAGUUAAGGUUUAAUGAUUGGAGAGUGAAAUGCUUAUGUAUUAGUGGAGUACUACUCAAAAGCAUUCAGAGAACCAAUUCUAAGUAGCAUAAAGGUGUACAUGACUUAGCAGAGACACUAAAAAGCAUGGCUAUCUAGUGUAGCUAUUAAGUCAAGAAGAAGAAUAGAGAUAAGGAAUAAAGUAGUCAAAAUUUUAUUAUG
rnacentral:misc_RNA from 1 species